rnacentral:tRNA from 1 species
GAGUGUUUGUUUAGUGGUAUGAUUUUCGCUUCGGGUGCGAGAGGUUGUGAGUUCAAUUCUUACAACACCUC